CCGGCUCUUACUCCUGCGUUCAGACUCGCUGCGUCAGCCCAUCCUAACUGAGCCAUGCAGAUGGUUCACCUGUUCUUGGCUGUUCUGUCUGUGCUCCUCUUUGCAUCUUCAGGAUUUGCACAGUUCAAACCGAAGAGCAGACGGCAAUGCUACGCAGUCGACGGUGUUUGCCAGCUUUGGCCGUGUACCUAUCCCAUGGUGAAGGUCGGGAAAUGUGGUCUACUGAAAAAGUGUUGCAAAAGUAUGACACUGGAGGACUGAUUGCUGACUGCUUACCCACGAUCCUUUGAAGAAUGGGAGACUCUUCCUCACUCUGAAAGCCACUGGAUCCUGCUACAUCCCCUGCUGAAGAUGCUUGCUGCUUAGUCCCCAAAGCUUCCACUUCAAAAAAAGAAGCCACCUUUGAGACCUUUGCAAUGACCUGUAUGAGCU